AUACGGGGGGUGCAAGCGUUGUCCGGCAUCAUUGGGCGUAAAGGGUUCGUAGGUGGAAUUAUAAGUCUGGUGUGAAAGCCCACAGCUCAACUGUGGAACUGCACUGGAUACUGUUUUUCUUGAGUUAUAGAGGGGUUUGUGGAAUUUCUGGUGUAGAGGUGAAAUUUGUAGAGAUCAGAAAGAACACCGGUGGCGAAGGCGACAAACUGGCUAUUAACUGACACUGAGGAACGAAAGCGUGGGGAGCGAACAGGAUUAGAAACCCGAGUAGUCC
rnacentral:rRNA from 1 species